CGGAUGUAGCCAAGUGGAUCAAGGCAGUGGAUUUGUGAAUCCCCCAUGCG
rnacentral:tRNA from 1 species